rnacentral:lncRNA from 1 species
ACAGGUUUGGGUAUUGGGGAUUUUAGUGAGACAAAAGAGCUUUGGGGAGGAGACAGAGAGGGAGAAGAACGGGUUCUUUUUAGUGAGGGUUUAAAGGGUUUGUCAGAAGGACUUUGAGGCAAGAAAAGGAGUUUGGAAAUUUCAGGAGCAGUUUGAGUGGCGACGGUUAUAGGGGGCGGAGAUGGGGGUAGAGGAAAUAGUACGGAGGAGGUUACAGGGGAGGGAUUUAGAGAGGAAGAAUGUUGAGAGGCCGGUUCUGGGACGGUUUAGGGCUUUAUAAAUCAGUGACGCGACUUUUCACCGGCGCAACUUAACGACGACGACGGCGGAGAGCUGAUAUAGUUGAAACUCGUAAGGAAAAUCGAUGAAGUUGAAAUCAAAUCGGAGUUCGAGUCAGCGGGAAUAAACCCUAAUUUCGUGGUUCCAAUCUGGAAGUACGUACGUGAUUCAGAAUCCCGACUUUCCAGAAAAUCCAACCUACAAUAUCCG